rnacentral:pre_miRNA from 1 species
GUUAAGGAUUAAGUGGAGGUGUGAUCUCUUCACUUUUUAUGUUUAAAGUGAGAUUCAACUCCUCCAACUUAACCCUGAAUCG